UCCUUCUCCUCUAAGUGGAGAAAGGAGUAGGGACAAUAAAACAUAGUCCCAGUUGAUGUUCUCAUGUUACCCAGAACGGCCAGUCAGGUGAAGACUUUGGAACUCUGGACCCAAGACAACUCAGUUUUCUUUUCAUCAAGGAAUGAGGCAUGGGAUGCAGAAAAAGAAAUGCUGAUGAUUUAUCUGGGUUUAUUUUAUAUCCUGCAACUGAAGUGACAUCCACAUCCUGGCUGCAGAGGAGCCAACAGCAGAGAUUUUCAGAUGGCUUCCUUGAACUAUGAAGAACACAUCAGCAUAACAUUCUUAUACUCGGAAAGAUGGAAUUUCUAAGUGAUUAAUUGAGUCUUCUUGAAACAAUUCUCUAUACAAAAAGUUCUG